AACGAACGCUGGCGGCGUGCCUAACACAUGCAAGUCGAGCGAGAAAGUUCCUUCGGGAACGAGUACAGCGGCGCACGGGUGAGUAACACGUAGGUAACCUACCCUCGAGCCCGGAAUAACCCGCCGAAAGGUGGGCUAAUGCCAGAUAGGACCACGGUGGUCACGGCCACCGCGGUGAAAGAUGGCCUCUGUUCACAAGCUAUUACUCGAGGAUGGGCCUGCGCGCCAUUAGCAGUUGGUGAGGUAACGGCUCACCAAGGCGAUGAUGGCUAGCUGGUCUGAGAGGAUGGCCAGCCACACUGGGACUGAGACACGGCCCAGACUCCUACGGGAGGCAGCAGUGGGAAUUUUCGCAAUGGGCGCAAGCCUGACGAAGCAACGCCGCGUGGGGGAUGAAGGUCUUCGGAUUGUAAACCCCUGUCGACCGGGACGAAAGUACCCGACCUAACACGUCGGAAUAUUGACUGUACCGGUGGAGGAAGCCACGGC
rnacentral:rRNA from 1 species